rnacentral:lncRNA from 1 species
AAUUUGUAAAAUUUUCUCAUGACUUUUAUUUCUCAAUGUAUGCUUUCAUCGAUCUCGCAGAGUUCUUGGGGCUGGAAUGGAGAACAAUGACUUCAGGCAAUGUGUGGUCUGCCCUUGGCAGUGGCCUUUCCUUUGGCUUUUCCUGGUCAAAAUGGUUCAGACUCCCUUGAGUGAGCAGCACAGCCACAGAAGAAUCCCAUCUCUUUUCUGUAGUUCAAGUUUCUCUAAAUUUGAUGACAUGGUCCUGUUCUGUCCUUGACUCAUUCUCUGAUCUUAGGUAAGUUAACUUCUUCAUGUCGCAGUUCCCCAUCUGGCAACGUCAAUUCUUGCCUCCUAAGAAGGAAGAAUUCGACUGAGGGGCACAAAGCAGAAAGGGCGACUGAGUCAAGUUCCAGAGCAGGAAUGAAAGUUUAUUUUAAAAUGCCUUAGAACAGGAACGAAAUGAAGGUGUGCAUGGAAAAGACCCACGCAGGCACAUGAAGGUUAAAGAGAGAAGGUCUUUCCCAUGAUUCUUCCCUUAGGGUGGGCUGCCCGCCUGCACAGAGCCCUCCUUAGCUUUGGGAAGCAAGCAUGGAUGGAUCUCAAAAAAGAAAUCAAAACUGGCUAUCUAUAUACUAGAAGAUAAUUCAGACUUAUGCAUCUGAGAAGGGUAACCAGCUCACUGCAUUAACUCACUUGGAAAGGGGAAGAAGAAAGCAAGUCCUUGGAGUGCAGAAAGCUCUCUUUCCUGCCACCUGUGAGGAAGGCGACUUGCUUC